GAAGUACGAAGACGUGAAUUGAGGCUUUUAUGAGACCAAACAAUAUCGACUGGUACAGCAGGAGACAGUGAAAAGGCUUGUGAUCAGACUCUUUGGACAAGUGUAUCGUGUCUUUGGUACAUCUUCGGUGUCAUCUGGUGAGACUGUUGCUGGUUGUGUGGAAACUGUGACAUCGUAAAGGUGGAUGCUGGCUGACUGAGCAGGAGAAGGAACAUUUGAUCUUGCAAGACUCGCAGGGAAAGUGUUGAGGAAGUGUGGUAUUUCCAGAGAAAGAUGAUUAAGAAGUGGUUGGGAGCAUUCCUUUUGUUUAUGAUGAUGGAUACUGCAUCAGCCCCUCAGCGAAAAAUAAUUAUGACAAAAACGGACAUUAUACCUAGAAACGAACGAGAGUAUACCGAAUAUACUAAAGAUAUAAACUGCUCUAAAGGUACUUAUCCACA